GAUGAACGCUGACAGAAUGCUUAACACAUGCAAGUCUACUUGAAUUUGGGUUUUUUAACUUAGAUUUGGGUGGCGGACGGGUGAGUAACGCGUAAAGAACUUGCCUCACAGCUAGGGACAACAUUUGGAAACGAAUGCUAAUACCUGAUAUUAUGAUUAUAAGGCAUCUUAGAAUUAUGAAAGCUAUAUGCGCUGUGAGAGAGCUUUGCGUCCCAUUAGCUAGUUGGAGAGGUAACGGCUCACCAAGGCGAUGAUGGGUAGCCGGCCUGAGAGGGUGAACGGCCACAAGGGGACUGAGACACAGCCCUUACUCCUACGGGAGGCAGCAGUGGGGAAUAUUGUACAAUGGACCAAGAGUCUGAUCCAGCAAUUCUGUGUGCACGAUGACGUUUUUCGGAAUGUAAAGUGCUUUCAGUUGGGAAGAAAAAAAUGACGGUACCAACAGAAGAAGUGACGGCUAAAUACGUG
rnacentral:rRNA from 1 species